rnacentral:rRNA from 1 species
AGCAGCCGCGGUAAUUCCAGCUCCAAUAGCGUAUAUUAAAGUCGUUGCAGUUAAAAAAGCUCGUAGUUGAAUUUCGGGAUCAAUAUGUUGGUCGUGCCUUGGUACGUACUGGCAUUAUCGAUUCCUACCUUCUGAAGAACCUCGAUGUCAUUAAUUUGGUGUCUUGGGGAAUCAGGACUGUUACUUUGAAAAAAUUAGAGUGUUUAAAGCAGGCUCGCGCUUGAAUACAUUAGCAUGGAAUAAUGAAAUAGGACGUUUGAUUCUAUUUUGUUGGUUUCUAGGAUCGACGUAAUGAUUAAUAGGGAUAGUUGGGGGCAUUAGUAUUCAAUUGUCAGAGGUGAAAUUCUUGGAUUUAUUGAAGACUAACUACUGCGAAAGCAUUUGCCAAGGAUGCUUUCAUUAAUCAAGAACGAAAGUUAGGGGAUCGAAGACGAUCAGAUACCGUCGUAGUCUUAACCAU